GAUGUUCCACAUCUGGAAUCCAAAUGUUAGACAUGAUAUAAAAAAGCCAGCACAACAACCCAGUGGGGCGUUUUACUGCCAGAAACACAGGCAAGAUGGACCUUGUUCUUCUCUGCAUGUUCCUGCCACUGCUAACAGUGGCUUGGGGCCAAUAUGGGGACUAUUACUACUCCCACGGUGACUACAGGGGCGAUGAUGGAUGGGUCAAUGUGUAUCGGCAGGGCUUCAACUUCCAGUGCCCUCAUGGGCAAGUGAUAGUAGCAGUGAGGAGCACCUACAGCAAAAAAGAAGGCUCUGACAGACUAUGGAAUUAUGCCUGCAUGCCUACGCCACAGACCCUGGGUGAGCCAACAGAGUGCUGGUGGGAAGAGAUCAACAGAGCCGGAUUGGAAUGGUAUCAGACAUGUUCAAAUAAUGGGUUGGUGGCAGGAUUCCAGAGCCAAUAUUUUCCAUCUGUGCUUGAUCGAGAAUGGCAAUUUUAUUGCUGUCGCUACAGUCAGAGAUGUCCAUAUUCAUGUUGGUUGACAACAGAAUAUCCAGGACACUAUGGGGAAGAUAUGGAUAUGAUGAUGUACGCCUAUGAUUAUUAUAUUCGUGGAGCAACCACAACUUUCUCUGGUGUGGAAAGAUCAAGAAAACUAUAGAGGUAUCAACAAUUGCUGCUUCCAUACAAAUAAACCCUUCUUCAGGAACUACAAGAACCAUGAAGUCAGAUCCAAGCACUUUAAACAAAAAUAAAUUCCUUGAUGCAUCUAGCUAAACUGGUCCUUAUCCUUCCUACCUACUUUCAGAGAUCGUCAGUGGAAGUUUAUUGUCUGCAGAAUGACAGAUUUUGACUGUCAGUUUGAAAAUCUUUAGAAGCAUUGAAAUAAACCACACUCUUGGGGGAAGUGGUGGGGGGGGGGAGAGAGAUUGGGGCAACAGGAAAAACAAAAGAAAAGCCAUUUAUCAACCAUGCACCAACUGUUUGGCAGAGCUGUCACUCCUCUUUUGUUAAAAGGGCCAGAUAAGUACAACACUGAGUUCAACUUCGAUCUACAUUCUACAGGCAUAUCUAUUUAGGGAGUAGAUGGGCUACUUCAGUUCACAUAAUCCCUGCAGAACCUAUGUGCAGCAAAGUACUUUAGCUUCCGCUGUUUUCCAGCCACCCAUGAAUGAAUCUGGUAGAUACAAGAACAACAUCAGCAGUAGACUUCCACCAUAGAGAUGGUCCUGUCCUGUUCUUUCCAGGUCCAUUUCCCUGGAUGUUACAGCACCAGUGAGUGUAGGAAUACGCCUUGUGGAUCAGUCCUUAGACACAACUGUGGACAACUCGCUUGUGGCUACUUUGCACUCCUUAGAUGCUUUCCAAUAUAAACCUAGAUGAAGUUAUUUCCUUGGCUGACUAGCUCAGCUGUACACACGCAGCUUAAUUUUGCAUGAUGUCUUUGUAUCCACUGCACCACACCUCAUUGUCAACUUAGAAAAAGGACUACAAAAACUCCCUAAUUUGUGUUUUGGUGAUUUUUCCACAGCAACUAAUUUGCACACACUGUGUGUCUGCUUCACAGUAAUCUACAGCUGUGAUUACAGGGUAGCUGAUAAAUCUUCUUUGUCACAGCUUUGCAACCCAUGCAAAUGUACAGUAUAUCACAUUUGUAUUACAUAACACAGCUGUCUGGCAGAAGUCCACUUCUGAGAUCGCUUCUCAACAGCAUAGCCUGCAGUACUUCUCCAAUCAUUUUUGUCUAAAAUUCAGAUGGAUGUCAUCGCCUCUGAUGGCUUUAAUGCCUUCAGUUUGAAACAACAGCCGAUUGUUUUUCUUAAUGUCAGAUAUCUGUGUUUUCUCUGCCAUUCUUUGAAAUCAGAGUCCCAAAAUGUAUGAGAAUACAGUAACUCUCAACUCUAGCUGAACAAGGCAUUGGUGGUAGUUGCAUGGCUGAAUCUGGGUGUGUAAAACUGUUGGCACAUUGGUAACCUGUGCUAUGUAGGUCAAAUGUGGGAUAUAAUUGUCCUGAGCAAUAUUUAAGGCAUAAGCAUGAUCACAAAGUUAGGCAUGGGUUUUUUUCCCUGUCAAAGGAGACAAUUAAGAAUUCAAAGGCAACAGCAGUAUGGAAACAAAAUGUGCAAUUUGCUCCAAAUGCCUGUAUUAGGAUAUCUUUUUCUUUUUAGUAUCUACACACACAUUAUAAAUUGUUAUCAUAAUGGAAUGAAGAAAUUUAAAAAAAUGGUGAUGCAGUAGACAUUAUACUUUUUAAAAAUUA